rnacentral:rRNA from 1 species
AUUGAACGCUGGCGGCAUGCUUUACACAUGCAAGUCGAACGGUAGAGGGGGCAACCCCUUGAGAGUGGCGAACGGGUGAGUAAUGCAUCGGAACGUGCCCAGUCGUGGGGGAUAACGCAGCGAAAGCUGUGCUAAUACCGCAUACGAUCUCUGGAUGAAAGCGGGGGACCGAAAGGCCUCGCGCGAUUGGAGCGGCCGAUGUCAGAUUAGGUAGUUGGUGGGGUAAAGGCUCACCAAGCCAACGAUCUGUAGCUGGUCUGAGAGGACGACCAGCCACACGGGGACUGAGACGCGGCCCAGACUCCUACGGGAGGCAGCAGUGGGGAAUUUUGGACAAUGGGGGCAACCCUGAUCCAGCCAUGCCGCGUGAGUGAAGAAGGCCUUCGGGUUGUAAAGCUCUUUCGGCCGGGAAGAAAUCGCACAGGCUAAUACUCUGUGUGGAUGACGGUACCGGCAUAAGAAGCACCGGCUAACUACGUGCCAGCAGCCGCCGUAA